CCUACGGGAGGCAGCAGUGAGGAAUAUUGGUCAAUGGGAGAGAUCCUGAACCAGCCAAGCCGCGUGAGGGAAGACGGCCCUAUGGGUUGUAAACCUCUUUUGUCGGAGAACAAAACCCGGGACGUGUCCCGUACUGCGUGUAUCCGAAGAAAAAGCAUCGGCUAACUCCGUGCCAGCAGCCGCGGUAAUACGGAGGAUGCGAGCGUUAUCCGGAUUUGUUGGGUUUAAGGGGUGCGUAGGCGGUCCGUUAAGGCGGCGGUAAAAUUGCGGGGCUCAACCCCGUCGAGCCGUUGAAACUGGCAGACUUGAGUGAGAGAGAAGUAAGCGGAAUGCGCGGUGUAGCGGUGAAAUGCAUAGAUAUCGCGCAGAACUCCGAUUGCGAAGGCAGCGUACCGGAGCGAGACUGACGCUGAGGCACGAAAGCGUGGGGAUCGAACAGGAUUAGAUACCCGUGUAGUC
rnacentral:rRNA from 1 species